CCUACGGGAGGCAGCAGUGGGGAAUAUUGCACAAUGGGGGAAACCCUGAUGCAGCGACGCCGCGUGAGUGAAGAAGUAUUUCGGUAUGUAAAGCUCUAUCAGCAGGGAAGAAAAUGACGGUACCUGACUAAGAAGCCCCGGCUAACUACGUGCCAGCAGCCGCGGUAAUACGUAGGGGGCAAGCGUUAUCCGGAUUUACUGGGUGUAAAGGGAGCGUAGACGGCCAGACAAGUCAGAAGUGAAAGCCCAGGGCUCAACCCUGGGACUGCUUUUGAAACUGCCGGGCUGGAGUGCAGGAGAGGUAAGCGGAAUUCCUAGUGUAGCGGUGAAAUGCGUAGAUAUUAGGAGGAACACCAGUGGCGAAGGCGGCUUACUGGACUGUAACUGACGUUGAGGCUCGAAAGCGUGGGGAGCAAACAGGAUUAGAUACCCCGGUAG
rnacentral:rRNA from 1 species